rnacentral:rRNA from 1 species
UACGGGGGGGGCAAGCGUUGUUCGGAAUUACUGGGCGUAAAGGGUUUGUAGGUGGCCCGCUAAGUCACACGUGAAAUCCCUCGGCUUAACCGGGGAACUGCGUCUGAUACUGGAUGGCUUGAGUUUGGGAGAGGGAUGCGGAAUUCCAGGUGUAGCGGUGAAAUGCGUAGAUAUCUGGAGGAACACCGGUGGCGAAGGCGGCAUCCUGGACCAACACUGACACUGAGGAGCGAAAGCCAGGGGAGCAAACGGG